GUGCCCCUAUUCAAAUGAUGUUGCAUAAUUUACGCCUCUUUGGGUACUCUUUGGUAGAGGCUUUUUUUUUUCAGAUAUUGGAUCCCAUUAUCUUCAUUGUCAACUCCUCCCGUGAUUGUUGUAAAGAAGUUGCAAG
ensembl:ncRNA ZK84.11 ncRNA